CCGGUACCUACCUCUGCCUCUUUUCCCCUCUUACUAUAGUAUUAAUUAAUUACCCUUCUUAGUAAUUUUGACUAACAUCGGUAGGACCACUCGGACCGAAUCCUCCCGAACGACGGUACCGGUUGAAUCGUUAUACAUGAUCGGUUAGCCGGUACCGGAUUGAUACGGUUUUUACCUACUUUUGUACCCGUUGUUGGUGUUGUACUAAUAGUUUCCACUCGAAUCCCAAAAGUCACCGACCCUUUUGUCAAGAAAAAUGAAAAUUGAGAAUUUAAAGAAAAGAAGAUGGAAGAUAGUUGACCAAUGAAUCAGAUAGAUCAAACCGACAAAUCAUAAUUCAUAGUAGUAAGAACUUCUUCUCGAUUAUUAUUACAUGUAAAAGCAAACUGAUAGCAAAAGAUUUAUGAUCAUUUAUUUGUAAGCAGACAAAUAAUCUGUGUGUUUUUCUGAGCAUGUGUUCAUGUACUGAACCCACUAAGGAUCUAUCCAAAACAGAGCAUAUCGAUCUCAUAUGCAUACUUUAUUUAAAAAAAAAGAUCAUUUCAUCAAUCAAAGAGAUCUAACAAAUCAAACAAUAAGGCAACAGAUAAAUCAAUAAUCACAAAAACCCAACAUAAAUGAUAAUCUUAAUUAACCAAUAGUACAAAAAGAUGAUUAAUAUUAAGUUGCAGAAACAGAGUAGAAAGAUUACAACUAAAUAUAGAGAACAAAAAAGGGAAAAUAAGAUAUUGGCUUCUGUUAACGCUAAGAUCUUUCCACGUACUCCAAUCACGUAAAGCACGUCCAAAUCAUGUACAGUAAACACGUCAAUACAAGAAGCUUGACGGCUUGGACCGUUGGGGGAUAGCUCCGGCGUAAGAGUCAGUACAGUCGAUCACAAGGUUUAACAAUGGAGGAAAAUAAAGUAUAGUGUCUUGAGAGAGAAAAUAUCAGUUACCUUCCAUUUAGUGUUAUCCUUCUUGGUUUUGUAUGCCACUGACCUCUCCUGGCCCACCACCUUCCGCCGACUAGGCCCUGUCCAAUCCUCAUUAAAUAAAAUGCAGAGAUGACAGUCAAAGUUUUAUCCCCAUAAUCAUUACCGGUCAAAGCCCUAGUGGAACCAUACUCAUCUAAUGAUUCGGCCCACUGUCUCGACCCAAUGCUCCAUAGGCCCAAAUAAAGAUAUUAUCCACCCAAUGGGUUGGCCCAAUGAACCGGCCCAAUACUUUCAAGACCCACCCAACAUGUCUUAAGCAUUAUGGCCCAACAUUGCCCCCCAGUCUUUUAUUAAACAGGAUGUUUAAUGAGAGUAUAAAUGCCACUGGUCUAGGAUAAAAGGAAUCAUGAUAAGAUUAAUCAGAGGCCCGAAAUGAAACUCACCGAGGCCCAACUGGUAAAUCUCAAAUAACAAUUUAAAUAAAAACCGGAAGCCCAAUCGAGAAGUCCAAUCUAGUUAAUAUCUUAAGACCAAAAUCGGACGCCACCCCUUCAAAUUCACCAUCAUUGCCUCCAUUUAAUGUGCCGCCCUCGAACUUCGUGAAAAAUUGAAGAGACCGCCAGUAUAAAAGCUGCCUUUCCCCAAAUUUGACAAUUUUACCUGUCAAUUUGAAUUUCAGAUGUUCCCCGCUUUCUUCCUCCUCCAGAUUUCUCUUUCUUCCUGUAAAUCAACAUUCAUGGCUUCUCAAACUUUUGGCGAAGAGGUUCCCCUCUCCGUGACUCCCAUCGCCUCUAUUCCUCCAAGCUCUACCAAAAAAGCUUCGGGUCCAAACCCCAAAUCUGCUAAUACUCCUAGCAAGAAUCCAUCACCAAAUCCUUCAGAGUUCUUUAAGAGUGAAGAAUACUUUCCUCAUGCUAAUACCCCUUCCACUAUCACUGAGAUUGAGUUGCGCAACCUUCGGACCCGCUACCAUAUUUCGGAUACCCAUCUGGUAAAGGCUCCAGCUCCCCAGGAACGAAUGUACCAGCGACCCGAAGGCUGGACCGCCAUGCCGGUGACCCUUCUCGAAAAGGGAGUUCAUCUACCCCUCCAUGCCUUCGUUGUUACUCUUCUAGGGUUCGUAUGCGUGGGACUUGCCCAGCUUGUCCCGAACUCCUACAUACACAUCCUGGCAUUUAUCGCUUUUUGCCACGAACAAGGGAUUCCACCUGCUGUCGAUUUCUUCUUCACCCUCUUCAUAGCUGGUAAAUCCCGGGAACGAGGUUUCAAGAUGUUGAGCAAACAAUCCCCCAAACCUAAUGACAUGUUCGAUAAACGACCUUUGAUGGACACUCCUUCGAGCAACCAGGGAUGGCAUAAAGAGUGGUUCUUUGUCAAAGGACCCGAAGUCUCCUCCAUACCCGACUGAACCAUUUCUGAUCGCAUCUCUGCAAACUUCAGAGAUAUUUCAAAGGAACUUGUAAGAGAAAUGACGAGUCUUUUAGAGAAGAUUCCCAUCAAGGAAUGGAGCUUCGGACUUCUAAGCAAACAAGCAUGGUUGUACGACCAUAAAUGUAAGUCCCGAACCCAAUUUAUUGUAUAACUUUACCAAUUUCCCUCAGUAAUUAUUCUAAAUGAUUGUUUUUCAUCUUUCACAGUGUCUGUGAUCAAACCGACGUCGAUUGACCGAAGGGAUCUAGACAGAUUCCUUUCGGAUUCAUCUUCGCCGACCCCUACUGAAGUACCAACUGAAGAGACUUCAACUUCAGAAGCUUAAGUUACCGAGCCAGCCAUUGAAGGGACAAGCCAACCUCGCCGAAGAAAGCAAGCUGGCCGAAAACCCAAACAUACCGCCAUACAAACUUACAAUGAAUGCCUCCUCGAUAUGCCCCUUGACGAACGGACCCGAGUCCUUCGUGCUAAAAAGAGGAAAAUCCUCAUAACUCCUCCAGCCGCCGAAGAACCACAAGUGCAUCCCAUAGAAACCGAUCUUCCGCCAAUCACCCUGGUUGAAAUCGUUGUUUCUGACGAAGAGCCCGAAGAACAAGUAGAGCGCACACCAAACUUGCUCGAAAAAGAAAACCAGCCUCUUCGGAAUCUAGGCCCGAAGCCAUGGGAUCCCCCACUCUCUAGCCAGAAUUCAAUGAGAAUUUCCCCUUUCAACUCUACAAUUCCUUCGUCCGUGAUACCGAUGACCACCGGUUCGGCAACAGCUCCAUAAUGGACCUGAUCGACGAGGGAAUGAAGUACCAAGCUAAGGUAAGCUGCUACUUAACUUAUCCAAUUACAUCUCGGCCCAUCAAUUUGGAUUGAUUGAUUAACAUUGAUCAUCUGUAGGCAAACGCUAUCUUCGGACGCCUCCGUCCCAAAUAAAGAAGCCGAAGCUGAAGAGGAAGCCGCUCGAAGAGAGAACGCCACAUUUAAGUCUGCCUUGGCGAAAGAGAUAAGCAAUCUUGAAAUUGCUCUCCUCAACAAUGAGAGCCUCCGGAAAGAUAUUGCUCAAACCAAAGAAGAUUUGAAGACGUCCAGGGCCACUCAUCAAGUUAUCACCGAUAUAAAUGUCGAUUUUCUUUAGAAAAAUGAAAUUUUGACGAAGAAAAUUGAAGAUCUGGCCCAAUCGAACUCAAGCCUGGCGAAGCAAAAUAACGAUAUCCAAGCUAAAGAAGCAAGACAUCUGACAUAUCGUAAAAAACUUGGAGAGGAACUUCGAGAACUCCGGGCUCUCAAGGAUUUGGGCCCACCACUGACUGACCAGCUUCUCAAGGAGAUUGAAGCAAAGUACAGGAAGUCUGCCGAGCUGAACGAUGAAAUUGUCCACAUGUAUUUUGAAGGGUACGAGGUCUGCCGAAGUAAAUACAAAGCCAAACUUGUAGUUGCCAAAGUAAAUCCUGCUCUCCUCGACUCUUCAGACAACGAAGACAAUAAGGAAGCUUAAAAAUACCGUUCCAUCCGUAGCUUUAGGACUCCCUGUAAAGACUCAUAUCUCCUUUGUAAACAGUUAGAUAUCAAUGAAAUGAUUAACAAGUUCUUAUCCUUAUUACAUCUUUGAUCAUUUCUUGUCAAUAAUUCACCAUCAAUCAACUUGAAAAAUGCACAAGCUUAAACUGUUAGUCAUUUAAUCAAGCAAAUUACGUAACAGAUAAGAUCAAGUAAUAACACAAUCCGAACUCAACACUUAAACAAAAUCAGGUAAUAAAGUAAUGCAAUACUUAUUUGUUACCGAAGUGUGAGAUAAAUCUGCAUCGAUAUGAAAUUUGUCUACCACGUUGGGCCUAAUAAAUUCCCAGGAUACACCUACCAAAUAGGCUAUCAUCGAAUGGUCAACGAGUCCACCCGAACCUCCUCACACCAUAUGGAAUUUGUUUACCACGCGGGGCCUAACAAAUUCACAGGGCACACCUACCAAAUAUGCUACCAUCGAAUGGUCAGCGAGUCCACCCGAACCUUCUCACACCAAAUGUAAUUUGUUUACCACGCAGGGCCUAACAAAUUCACGGGGCACACCUACCAAAUAGGCUACCAUCGAAUGGUCAGCGAGUCCACCCGAACCUCCUCACACCAAAUGGAAUUUAUUUACCAUGCAGGGCCUAACAAAUUCACAGGGCACACCUACCAAAUAGGCUACCAUCGCAUGGUCAGCAAGUCCACCCGAACCUCCUCACACCAAAUGGUCGCCACAGAUGCCCUCGUGAACCUCCCGAAGAGCAUAUUCAGCUUCAGAUGGAGUUAAACAUUUCAGCAAUGGAGAUGAAAAAGCCCUUCGAUAAAGAUCCCCAUCAAUAAGAACAAAGUUAGCACUCUUGUACAUAACUUUCUUAGCCAGCAUCUGAUCCGAAGGAAGAACGCCAUCGAUCCAGCAAAGGUGUUCACUUCGGUAAUAGCCAGUUUUGACAAGGCAUUGGUAAUGGAGUCAUCAUUGUGAUCGACCUCCUCGUUGUUUGUUUCUCUGAAUCUGAACCUGAUAGCCUGUUGUACUGUAUGAAUUAGAAUAUCCGCCUGUUGUACUGUAUGAAUUAGUAUUCCAUCUUAAAUCUCUAAAAACUACAGAUAGAUUGAGACUAAUUUCUGAGAAUAAGUGAAGUGCUAAAAUGCACAAAAGAAGCAUACCAUAUGACCAGUAAUAUGUAGGUAACCAGAGGCUCUAAACUAGCCAGUCUAGCCAUAAUACCCUUAAUAUUUCUCCUCCAAUCAAAUGAGGAUAUAAAAGCAGUCUCAAACUUCCAAAUGAUUUCCCAUAAAAAGUUUGCAAGACUUUGCUCUAUUCAAUAAACUCACCAUACUUUGACGUGGUAGCUGCCAUAAACAAUUGGAUCACUGGCUACACCUCUUAAGCUACUCCCUAUAGAGAUAUGGGGGGAAAAGGUUAACAGUCAAGAGAAGAUCCAAUAUCUCGGAUCAGGUCUUUUGCUAGCAGUAUAAAUUAAUCUUCUUUUGUCAUCAGCAUAAACUUUUGUAUGAGAACCAAAGACGAACUUGUAGCCAUCGGUUGUCCUUCAGGGGUAACCGUUCUACUCUUCAUCAUAAGUUCCGACGUAGAACAAUUAAAAGUUGUGAUUGAAAACUCAAGAACACUAGAAACAACCCUCCUUCUAGCGCUAAUGUUAACGCCAAGAUCUUUUCACGUACCGUCGGGGGAUAGCUCCGGCGUAAGAGUCAGUACAGGCGAUCACAAGGUUUAAUAAUGGAGAAAAAUAAAGUAUAGUGUCUUGAGAGAGAAAUAUCAGUUACCUUCCAUUUUGUGUUAUCCUUCUUGGUUUUGUAUGCCACUGACCUCUCCUGGCCCACCACCUUUCGCCGACUAGGCCCUUUCCAAUUCUCAUUAAAUAAAAUGCAGAGAUGACAGUCAAAGUUUUAUCCCCAUAAUCAUCACCGGUCAAAGCCCCAGUGGAACCAUACUCAUCCAACGAUUCGGCCCACUGUCUCGACCCAAUGCUCCAUAGGCCCAAAUAAAGAUAUUAUCCACCCAAUGAGUUGGCCCAAUGAACCGGCCCAAUACUUUCAAGACCCACCCCAACAUGUCUAAAGCAUUAUGGCCCAACAACUUCAAUCUUGGAGAUGAACCGGUUGUACAACUAAUGUCUUUUUUAUCUAGAUAAACUAGUUGAUCGAUAUUACUCCAACAGAACAAUAAGUGAUUGCUAUCUAUUGGGCUAGCUUUCAUUGGUAUGUUAAUUUUCUACUGAAUAUGGAUCCAACAAACAUUUACA
rnacentral:lncRNA from 1 species